AUCCACUGCACAAACAACCCACUGUCCAGAACAGACUUGGAAGGGAAGGUCGAGCGCCAGAGCUGGUGGGGUAGCCACGGUCAUACCUGCUGGGUGCUGAGGGAGGUGCACAGCGAGCAGAUGGCCUCUGCGUCCUCAGGGGUUUUCUUCUUUAACUGUAGGAGCUGGGCUGCUUGGAUCAGAGGUUCCAUGGUCUGGACUGCUCCGCUCUGGUGAAGGUUUCUUCCCCGAAGCCACUCUUCAAGUUGACUUAUAUUGUACCUUAGAUACAAGGCAAAGUGAGCUGUGUUAAGCCAGUCCUCCUAACUCACUGGGGCGAGCACACCCGUUGUGUUCAUUGCAUGGCCUAGUUGCCAAUAGUGUGAUCAUUCUCUUCACCUUCAUUAGCUCACAUAGGCAAAAGCCUGAAAAGCACCUGGCGCUCAGUAACAUUUUGCUGAAUGAAUAAAUGAAUGAACGGGUGCUUAAAAUCAAGCAAAAAUGAGGUCCCUGAAACGUCUGUAUAAGUUAAUGGGAAAAUGAAACAUCAUAUAGAUUGAAUUAAAAUAAAUGGUACUUAACAUUCACAAACAUAUUUAUGCUUCUGUGUGAGCCUUCGUGUCUCAACUCAUUGAUUUUUCCCUCUGACAUAUCCAUGUUGCCUUUAUAAUCUUUAGAGUAUAUAAAUGCCUUUCAAGCAUUUAACUCAUUUGUUUACCAGGUCACCAACUCCGUGUUGUUGAAUUCCACCAACAGAUGACAGGUGAUGGAAUUGAGUCACAUACUGACCAUCACCAGUUAGAUUUGGAUUCCACUUUCAGAGACAAAGGCCUUGUGCUCGAUUCCAGCCGGUGCGUGCGGGCCCCUCCAACAGUGUGGCGAGGGCGAGGCGCCGUUCUCCUACCUGAGCUGCAUGCCUGUGCUCCAAGAGCAGACGUCCUUCCGCAGGAGCAGGUUGUUGAGAGUCACAGCGUUGAUCAUGUAGAAGAGCUGCUUGAACACCUGCAGGAUGAUCUCCGGGUCCAGGCCCUGGUCACACAUGACUGUGUGAAAGGAAUUCAUCUGGCGGAUGACGGCUUCCAGGCAGUAGGAGUUGUCCCCAUCCACCAUGCUGGAGGAGCGCUUGCGGUAGCCUGUUGGCUUCACACCAGAUAGACCCUGAAUGCUCUCAUUUUCCAACAUGGCAGAAACUGAAAGAAAAGCAGGAUGAGAGAAGCUUGCAGGUUUCCCAGAGACGACCCAUUUUCGGACCACUCAGAUCAUAUAGUACUUUGGGCUUCGGCAAUGCCACCGUCUACCGGCACACGAUAUUGAUGUGCUCGGAAACUGAAAGCAUUUAGCAACUGAAUUUCUAAUGUGUUGGUCUCUAUGUGGAAUAAAAUUUCCACAGAUAAAUCUUGGAUCAAAUCUGUGGACCAAAUUUUCACUUAAGCUUGUUGGUGAUGGGACAAAGAUAACGGGCAUGUAGCAACUCAGUUCUGUACUGGCUUCUGUGAGGGGUCCAAAGUUGAGAAUUGGGCAACUUGGGUGUAGUCCUGGUCCACCCACUGACUUGGCCCUAGGCCCUGAGAUCGUCCUGAUGUUCAAACAACUCUUUGAUAUGAGCUGCUGACCAUAUAAAUCUUAGGUUAGCUGGUCUGUCAUACUGCACAAUGUUGAACUAUGUGCCAGUGCUUUAUGCUCAGUCAUUUCUAUCUUCCAACAACCCAUUUCCUGAUCAGGAAAUCGAAGCCUAAGGAAGUUAAAUUACUUGCCCAAGGUCACAAUGCUAGGAGUUGGCAGGGCCAGGAUUUGAACCCAGGUACGGCCAACUCCAGAACUGGUGCUAUUAACCAUCCCAUUAUUUUGAGUCGUGAAGUAUUCCCAGUUCUCCCUAAGCCUGUUACCUCUAAAAGAUAUCCCUCUAAAAGGGAUAAGGAUAUGGAAUGAAACAUAUCCUAGAAGAUGAAUUUCUGGAUGGCAUGAAGGACUCUGUCCUACUUGGAAUUCACCUACAACCUAUUUGUGUUUUAAGGACCUGGGGGAAAGCUUUACAGCAUAGGUCCAAGGAACAAUUUCCUCCCUGGCCUUUAUGGAACACACGGAGUGAUGCGUGCACAUGUCAUUUUUCUCGUAACUUAUAAAAGGAUGGCUCUUAUUUUUUCAAUCUGAUUUCAUGUGAAGUGUCCAGCACACUGUUUUGGACAGAGUGUUCAACAUUUAUUGCACCAAUGCUUACUACCGUGUUCUCUUGCAUGUGCUUGCUUUUUGUCCCACAAAUAAAGUAUACAUGUGGGCACGAGGCAUGUAUUUUUUCACCAUAUACGCAUUUAUUUAUACCUUUUGAAUUUAUAUUUAUCACCUAUGGAAGAUUUCAUAGCUCCGUGCACACAGCAAACACACACCACCUCGCUGCCUUCGUCAGGAAGGUCCUGGUUUCCUGGAGGCCACGCCUAAGAUAUCUGCUUCCCUAAAAGCAGGCACGUUCCCGAUCAUUUCGGACCCCACGAUGAGUGCUGGAGAUCGCCUGCUGCCACCUUACCUAUCAUAGGCUGCAACACACCCUCGGCGAUUUUAAUGAGUUGCUGGUAGAUUUGAAUGGAAAGGUCACUCAGCACCUGGCGGUAUUCAGUGAGGUCAAAGUUCUUAAGACAGUGCUCAUUCUGCUUGGCAGUA
rnacentral:lncRNA from 1 species